rnacentral:rRNA from 1 species
GACGAACGCUGGCGGCGUGCUUAACACAUGCAAGUCGAACGGAAAGGCCCUGCUUUUGUGGGGUGCUCGAGUGGCGAACGGGUGAGUAACACGUGAGUAACCUGCCCUUGACUUUGGGAUAACUUCAGGAAACUGGGGCUAAUACCGGAUAGGAGCUCCUGCUGCAUGGUGGGGGUUGGAAAGUUUCGGCGGUUGGGGAUGGACUCGCGGCUUAUCAGCUUGUUGGUGGGGUAGUGGCUUACCAAGGCUUUGACGGGUAGCCGGCCUGAGAGGGUGACCGGCCACAUUGGGACUGAGAUACUGCCCAGACUCCAACGGGAGGCAGCAGUGGGGAAUAUUGCGCAAUGGGCGGAAGCCUGAUGCAGCAACGCCGCGUGCGGGAUGACGGCCUUCGGGUUGUAAACCGCUUUCGCCUGUGACGAAGCGUGAGUGACGGUAAUGGGUAAAGAAGCACCGGCUAACUACGUG